UACGAAGGGGGCUAGCGUUGCUCGGAAUCACUGGGCGUAAAGGGCGCGUAGGCGGCCUGUGCAAGUCAGUUGUGAAAUCUCCGGGCUUAACUCGGAACGGUCAACUGAUACUGCUCGGCUAGAGUGCGGAAGGGGCAACUGGAAUUCUUGGUGUAGCGGUGAAAUGCGUAGAUAUCAGGAGGAACACCGGUGGCGAAGGCGGGUCUCUGGGCCGAUACUGACGCUGAGGAGCGAAAGCGUGGGGAGCGAACAGG
rnacentral:rRNA from 1 species